AAUAAUCUCAUUUUUCAUUUUUCCGUGACCAACGUUUGACUAUUGGUCUUAUUUGAAUUUUUUUUGCGAUUUAUAUUUUUAUUAUUACUAGAUGAUAAAAUAUGAAUAGUAUUUUAUACGUGCCUAAUUUUUUUAGAAUUUUUACACAAAUUUUUAAAUAAGACGAAUGGUUAAACGUUGGACACAGAAAAAC
rfam:Oryza brachyantha chromosome 2, whole genome shotgun sequence.